rnacentral:rRNA from 1 species
AUUAAACGCUGGCGGAAUGCUUUACACAUGCAAGUCGAACGGCAGCACGGACUUCGGUCUGGUGGCGAGUGGCGAACGGGUGAGUAAUGUAUCGGAACGUGCCCAGUCGUGGGGGAUAACGUAGUGAAAAUUACGCUAAUACCGCAUACGAUCUAUGAAUGAAAGCGGGGGAUCGCAAAACCUCGCGCGAUUGGAGCGGCAGAUAUCAGAUUAGGUAGUUGGUGGGGUACAGGCCCUCCAAGCCAACGAUCUGUAGCUGGUCUGAGAGGACGACCGGCCACACUGGAACUGAGACACGGUCCAGACUCCUACGGGAGGCAGCAGUGGGGAAUUUUGGACAAUGGGCGAAAGCCUGAUCCAGCCAUUCCGCGUGCAGGAUGCAGGCCCUCGGGUUGUAAACUGCUUUUGUACAGAACGAAAAGGUUUCUACUAAUACUAGGAGCUCAUGACGGUACUGUAAGAAUAAGCACCGGCUAACUACGUGCCAGCAGCCGCCGUAA